rnacentral:rRNA from 1 species
CAGCCGCCGCGGUAAUACGUAGGGGGCGAGCGUUGUCCGGAAUUACUGGGCGUAAAGGGCGUGUAGGCGGCCUGUUAAGUCAGGCGUGAAAACCCCGGGCUUAACCUGGGGAUUGCGUUUGAAACUGGCGGGCUUGAGGGCAGGAGAGGAAAGUGGAAUUCCCGGUGUAGCGGUGAUAUGCGUAGAUACCGGGAGGAACACCAGUGGCGAAGGCGGCUUUCUGGACUGCACCUGACGCUGAGGCGCGAAAGCCAGGGGAGCGAACGGGAUUAGAUACCCCGGUAGUCCUGGCCGUAAACGAUGGGUACUAGGUGUGGGAGGUAUCGACUCCUUCCGUGCCGGAGUUAACACAAUAAGUACCCCGCCUGGGGAGUACGGCCGCAAGGCUGAAACUCAAAGGAAUUGACGGGGGCCCGCACAAGCGGUGGAGCAUGUGGUUUAAUUCGAUGCAACGCGAAGAACCUUACCAGGUCUUGACAUCUUCCUGACCGGUAUGGAAACAUACCUUUCCUUCGGGACGGGAAGACAGGUGGUGCAUGGCC